ACGCUGGCGGCGUGCUUAACACAUGCAAGUCGAACGGGAGGGAAAGAGAAGCUUGCUUCUUUUUUGAAUCUAGUGGCAAACGGGUGAGUAACACGUAAACAACCUGCCUUCAGGAUGGGGACAACAGACGGAAACGACUGCUAAUACCGAAUAAGUUCCAAGAGCCGCAUGGCCCAUGGAAGAAAAGGUGGCCUCUACCUGUAAGCUAUCGCCUGAAGAGGGGUUUGCGUCUGAUUAGCUGGUUGGAGGGGUAACGGCCCACCAAGGCGACGAUCAGUAGCCGGUCUGAGAGGAUGAACGGCCACACUGGAACUGAGACACGGUCCAGACUCCUACGGGAGGCAGCAGUGGGGAAUCUUCCGCAAUGGGCGAAAGCCUGACGGAGCAACGCCGCGUGAGUGAUGACGGCCUUCGGGUUGUAAAACUCUGUGAUCCGGGACGAAAAGGCAGAGUGCGAAGAACAAACUGCAUUGACGGUACCGGAAAAGCAAGCCACGGCUAACUACGUG
rnacentral:rRNA from 1 species